GCUCAGGCUGGACCCUGCUCCGACACUCCCGGCUCCCCUGGUCCAGGUGGCACCUUCCUGGCACCUUGAAGGUUGGGAAACAGCCGUGUCCUUCCUUUUUCCUAAAUGAAUUUUUCUCCCCAGGAGCCAGAGCAGUAGGACAUCUUGAGGCUGAUUGCGGAGGUCAGGACUCAACUGGAAAGACCGCAGCGGGUUGCUGACUGGCAUCCACGGUCCAGAUAAGAUAAAAACAACUGAUGACAGCAGGGAAGUGAAACAGUCAUCUCAGCACUUGGAUUAGUGCCCGGCAAAGAGGAAGGGAAAAAAAAAAAACAAACCCGAGGAGGGCCGGUGGGGAGGGGAAGGGGGUGGAAUAUGUAUUAGAAUAGAAACUCUGGAAAAAGCUAUCAGGAGGCAGCAGAUUUGGGUGUUAAAUAUUUAUGAAUUAGCGGCACUUGUCGCGUUCUCGCUGAGCGGCGAGGUUUGCAGGACGGGGCGCCCGUGUGGCUGCGAACACGCCGUCACCGUCACCGUCACUGUGCCACCAUCACCAUCACCGUGCCACCACGGCAAACCCUGGCGGUGGGAAGGACAGAGGGACAGAGGGACGGUGGGAUGGGAGGGAAGGUGACCAGCUCUGGCAGCUCCAGCGCUGCCGAGACCGGCCGUGGCUCAGGAUAAAUCCAGCUGAAGAGGUGGAAGGAUAAAUGAGGUGCCAUAAAAGUGACAAUUAUUAUUCAGAAAAUUCUGCUGAAGAGCACUGGAGUAAUUAAAUCAUAAUUGCUUAUUACUCAGCUGAAGUGACAUUGUAAGUGGCUGAAGGUCUGUGACGAGGAGAGGGAAGGGGGGGUCUCGGCUUUUCUGCUGUGCUUUGUCUUCGCCUCCGUCCUGCUGUGGAUUUGUGCACCCCCCACGGCAGCUGAGAGAAACCCCGGCCCUCAGUGAAGGUCGAAAGUCCCCCCUGAGCCCAUAAAGCCCAUUUUCAGCCCAUUUUCACCCCAUGAGCUCAGCGUUAUCGGCUGCUGCAGGACAGGGAGCCGGGGGCAGCUUUGCCUCCCAGGGCAAGAGGUGCCCGAGCGCCGGUGAACUUGCCCAGCCCAGGUUGGCCAUUUACUCCUGGGCUGGAGGACCUUUGGGUUGGGCUGAUCUGCUAAACUCUGAGAGCUUUACAGGAGCCGUUCCCCACCGCGAGACAAAGAGCCUGCAAAUCCUGUAAGCGCUUAAUUACGCAGCGAUGUUUAUGGAACGUUUUAAAGGGCUCCUGUAAUUUGGCAGCACGGAGGAGAUGUGGAGUCGAGGUUUGGAAGCGUGAGCUUUCCCAGCACGUCACACCACGGUGGGCUUUCCCUUCGCCAGCCAGGUUGGGAUGAUAAACUGCAUUUUCAGCUUUAGGUAACAUGUUCUGAAUAGUGGUGGAGUUUUUCUUCCCAAGUGGCUCUGUGUUUCACGUUCUGAAAUAUUCUGAAACGAGGUCACCUGGCACUUAAGGACAGCUGAGCAUCUCUUAUUUAUAUUUUUUUUUCACCCCUUUUUGCUGUUUGGCAGGCAGGGAGAGCUGCCCGUACCUUCCCACCCACCCUUCCCAUGGGAGCAUCCGCGCCGGAGAGCGAAGGACCAAACCGUGGUGGCACCUCCCUGCGAUGCUCAGCUGUAAAAUGAGUCACCUGGCACGGCAGCAGAACGCAGCCCACCAGCGAGGAGAGCGCUGAGGAGCUGCCAGGGAAUCUGCUGCCAAUAAACCACUCGUGGCUUCAGACGGGCUCUUGUUUCGGGGCUGGCCGGAGCCAGCUGGGAGCCGAGCCCGCGGCACGGUGCCAGCACCGACCCCUUCGCCGGGACCCGCCGCGGCCGCCCUGGCCGCUGCCAGCCCCUGUUUUGUCUAAUUACACCGGGCUAAUGAGGAGAGCACAAAAGCCGGCGGCUCCCGCGGCCCCUCUCUUUGGGCAGAGCCUGGGAGACACCAGGCAACUUGUGCUCCUCUAAAAAGAAAUAGGAUUAUUUUUCCCCCCCUCUUGCAGCAAAUCUGCAAAUCAUUUAGCAUCCCUAAAUGAGAAUCAUCUGUGGGUUCCUUCCCAUCCUGGUGCAUAAACCCAAAGCUUCACCCCAUUCCCUGGCUCCGGGGACCAUACAGGUGAGGGGGUGCAGCUGGGGCUCAGCAUCACCCCAGGGGUGUCGGGGUGCAGGGACCCCUCUGCCCGGAGCAGGCGACUGCCCCAGCUCUAACCCACAGCCUUGGCAGGGGUUAAACAGCCUGAGGAGAGAGGGAAGGGCCCUGGUGAUGCAAACAAUAAAAAGUCUCCACAUUCCACUGAAGUUUCUUGAGCAACUGGCAUUUGCCCAUAAAUGUACUUAAGCAGAAAAUCACCAGAAAAGUGCUAUAAUCUGACAGAUUUUUCACAGGCUUAAAUAUUCAUGAAUUAAAAGAAUUGGCAGAAUUUUCUACAUUAUUAGCUUUCAUCAUGGCUACAGGAGCAGUUGGUGCACUGGCUGCUCUUCAAAAACUAUUAAUCUAGUCUGUCAUCACAGCAGCCAUUUUUUAAUUAGCUACUUUACUGAACGAUCUGGUGCAGUAGUGAGACUGGAACAUUUAAAUGGUAUUAAAGUUUUAAAGGUGCCCCUUUCCAUUUCCAGUCUAAGUUCUGAGACGCCGCAAUAGGGAAACAAAUGUGGCAGCAGGUUGCUUCCUUUCAACGGUUAAAUUCUUACUUUAUUUUGGAAAAAAUCGAGUCUUGGAAAACCAAGCAGCUUCUACCAGGAGGAGAAAUUGCUAGAAAUAAAUUGUUCUUUAAUCCCAAGUUUGCAACAUUCCUGCCCGGUGAAAUCAAACCGAGAUGUUUGUGGCCGAAACACCGCCCGGGUGCUGCAGAGGCGGGAGCAGGGCACGGAAACACGGGUUUGUGGAGUUUGGUUUGGGUCCCAGGGUACCACGGCCCUCGGGUGAAUCCUCCUCCCGACCACGUGGGACCUGCUGCUGCAUCCCACCGGGGCUCCGUGCUCCUGCCUGGAGCAUCUCCUGGGCAGGCAGAGCACGGGGGUCCCGGUGCCACAUCGGCUCUUGCCACAACAUUAAUGUGAGGUUUUUUCCCUUCUGCAGGCGUUGUUAAGUGUUUGCGGUACGUAACCCAAAGCU